CAAACAACAGCGAAAAAAGCCCCUGAUUGGUGAAUAUAUCAGCAAAUUGUGAAGAUGUAGGAACAUGUAGAACCUUUGCUUCACCAAGAGCAACUCGACCGUGCUUUCAAAAAUAAAAAAGAGCAACUCGAUCUCGCACAAAAUGAAGAUCAAUCUCCACAUGUUACGUUGCUACUACGUGAAACUGUUAUUGUUUUUUAGGUAAACAUGAAGCUAACUUUGAAUACGUAACCCACAAAAAAAACUCUUGAAUACGUAGUGAAUUGUGUAGUUUUGUUGAAUCCAAGCAUGCAUACAAGUAUACAACGAUGCCCAUUUUGUGUUUACCUAAAAAAUGCAGCGCGACGUUGGCCAAUCGGAGGAUUAAGUGGGCCGGCCCACUUGCGUGCGGAGAUGCCAAAAAAAAUCUGUAUAAAUUGUUGCGUUAAAAGGCUGGCUAGUUGCAGCUGGGGUAUGCUAUGUGGUACUUUGUACCCAUUUUGUGCUUUAGAUUAAUUGCAGUUCAGAAUUUUAGUGAGUUGUUGCUGUAGGGUUUGGUUCCUUGUUUGAACUUCGGAAAAUAGUGGUGGAGUUUUUGUUCAGUGGAUUCGAUUUGUUCUCUGGUCCUGGGUUUGUUUUGCUCACUGGUUUUGCUUGAAGAGGUGCACGGGUGGGGGUGGGAAGCCAUGCAGUUUUACCUUUUGCAAUUCCAGUUCUCUACAAAUGCUACAGUUUAUAUUGCACUGGAUCGCACCACUUUAUUUCUACAAUGGCUCUCUUUGUAAGGGGCAAUUGGUAUUUUAGCUUCUCCUUUCUUUUUUUUUCCUCUUUUCUUUGCAGCUUUAUACGAGUUCCAUUCAUAUUGCUGUUUAUAUGUAGAGUUUAAUUGCAUCUUUUAUUGUAUUUUAGUUUUCAUGUCCUCUGUUAUCUGCUUAAGUUGAUUUUGUUUAUCCGAGCGGGUAGUGGAGGGGGUGGCUGGCGUGUACCGGUGGAUCUGUGCAAGCAGUAAGUGAAGUUAUAAUGUUUCACAUUUUAAAAUUCUGCAUGGAUUGAGUGUUGCACCCUUAUUGUUCACCUUGUUCACAGACAUACGAUGUUUUUGUGAUUGGUGUUGCUAUCUGAGAAACUAAGGUUUGCACCAAAUUCCAUAUCACUGAUAUUUCAUAAACAAGAUCUGCAUAACAGGUUAAAUUUUUUUGUUCCCAAAAAACCAUGGGUAGGGUGUCAUUUCUAUCUUGAUUGGCUGAAGGAUCUUUAUGUGAAGGUUUUGCCUUACCCAUUGCCUUAAUUGAUCAAUUUUUGUUUCCAUUUUGAUUCACCAACAAACAACACUGCAAGUUGUACUCUGCUUAAGCGCAAUUGCACUAUCAACCUUCACUAAUUGCAAUUGCAAUUUCUGUUUCAACUAGUGGGUUUUGCCUUAAUUGAUCUUUUUUUUUUAUCUAUUUCACUUUCUAUUUUGAUGCACCGACCAACACUACUGCAAGUUGUACUCUAUCUAAGCGCAACCGCACUCUUGAUUUCCAGUAAUUGCAAUUAUCAGUUUUUUUGUCUCAACUAGUGGGGUUUCUGCCCAACAUUACUGCAAGUUGUACUCUGCCUAAGUGCAUUUGCACUUUUGAUUUUCAUUGAUCACAUUUUUCUGCAUUUAAUUAAUGGUACCAGCUAGUGGUGGGGUAAUAUCACCACUAGCAUCAGAUAAGUUGAACAUCUUGUUCAAUUUGUUUGUGUCAAUGACAAAGAGUACUUCAUCUUACAAUCUGUCCAAGCGCAAUCGCACCGUUGACUGCGAGCAAUUUCAAUUGCAAAUUUGUGUGCUCCAACUAGUGGGUUUAUUUUUCCACACUUAUAUUUCUGCCCAAGAACUUUUUUGUUUUCUCUUUGUUUUAUGCACCGAGAAAACAAUAUUUUUGCAAGUUGUACUCUUAGUAAGUGUAAUUGCACUCUUGAUUUUCAUUAAUCGCAUU
rnacentral:lncRNA from 1 species